UUGAACGCUGGCGGCAUGCCUUACACAUGCAAGUCGAACGGUAACGGGCCUUCGGGUGCCGACGAGUGGCGAACGGGUGAGUAAUACAUCGGAACGUGCCCGAUCGUGGGGGAUAACGAGGCGAAAGCUUUGCUAAUACCGCAUACGAUCUACGGAUGAAAGCAGGGGACCGCAAGGCCUUGCGCGGACGGAGCGGCCGAUGGCAGAUUAGGUAGUUGGUGGGAUAAAAGCUUACCAAGCCGACGAUCUGUAGUUGGUCUGAGAGGAUGAUCAGCCACACUGGGACUGAGACACGGCCCAGACUCCUACGGGAGGCAGCAGUGGGGAAUUUUGGACAAUGGGCGCAAGCCUGAUCCAGCCAUGCCGCGUGCAGGAUGAAGGCCUUCGGGUUGUAAACUGCUUUUGUACGGAACGAAAAGCCUUCUUUUAAUACAGGAGGGUCAUGACGGUACCGUAAGAAUAAGCACCGGCUAACUACGUG
rnacentral:rRNA from 1 species